AACGACUCUCGGCAACGGAUAUCUCGGCUCUCGCAUCGAUGAAGAACGUAGCGAAAUGCGAUACUUGGUGUGAUUGCAGAAUCCCGUGACCAUCGAGUCUUUGAACGCAAGUUGCGCCCGAAGCCUUCCGGCCGAGGGCACGUCUGCCUGGGCGUCACGC
rnacentral:rRNA from 1 species